GCAAAGACUAAAUUCUGUAUUUUUUAAGGUCAGUAUACUCUCAUGGAGCCCCCUGCUAGAGAAACUGGCUCCAAACCAUUGCAUUUCUUGGCCAGCCUUUGGGCUGCUGGCACUGAUAUGGGUUGCACAGUG
rnacentral:snoRNA from 1 species